GUAGUUUCCCAAACCUGUUCUUUUGCAGCGACUUCCAAAACGAUGAGGUUUUGGUGUUUUUAUUUUCAUGAAAGAAAUCAAAGAAUCAAGAUGCUGUCAAAAUGCUUGAAUUAAUGUUACCAGAGUUUGGCAUCAAGUUUGACAACGACAAUGAAGAAAAUGUUUCAGGAUGGUGAUGGAUACAAGGGAAACAAGAUCCAAUUCUCG
rnacentral:lncRNA from 1 species